UCCGGGGGGGGCAAGCGUUGUUCGGAAUUACUGGGCGUAAAGGGUUUGUAGGUGGCUUGCUAAGUCAGACGUGAAAUCCCUCAGCUUAACUGGGGAACUGCGUCUGAGACUGGCAAGCUUGAGUGCAGGAGAGGAACGCGGAAUUCCAGGUGUAGCGGUGAAAUGCGUAGUUAUCUGGAGGAACACCGGUGGCGAAGGCGGCAUCCUGGACCGACACUGACGCUGAGGAGCGAAAGCCAGGGGAGCAAACGGG
rnacentral:rRNA from 1 species